rnacentral:tRNA from 1 species
GCGGGGUUAGCUCAGUUGGUUAGAGCGUGGUGCUAAUAACACCAAGUUCACAGGUUCAAUCCUAGCUCACUGCG